CCUACGGGCGGCUGCAGUGGGGAAUAUUGCGCAAUGGUGGCAACCCUGACGCAGCAACGCCGCGUGAUUGAAGAAGGCCUUCGGGUUUUAAAGAUCUUUAAUCGGGGACGAAUUUUGACGGUACCCGAAGAAUAAGCUCCUACUACCUACGUACGAGCAGCCGCGGUAAUACGUAGGGAGCAAGCGUUAUCCGGAUGUACUGGGUGUAAAGGGCGUGUAGGCGGGCAUGCAAGCCAGCAGUGAAAUCUGGGGGCUUAACCCCCAAACUGCUUCUGGAACUGCGUGUCUUGAGUGAUGGAGAGGCAGGCGGAAUUCGCAGUGUAGCGGUGAAAUGCGUAGAUAUUGGGAAGAACACCGGUGGCGAAGGCGGCCUGCUGGACAUUAACUGACGCUGAGGCGCGAAAGCGUGGGGAGCAAACAGGAUUAGAUACCCCAGUAGUC
rnacentral:rRNA from 1 species